rnacentral:rRNA from 1 species
UACGUAGGGACCAAGCGUUGUUCGGAUUUACUGGGCGUAAAGGGCGCGUAGGCGGCGCGGUAAGUCACUUGUGAAAUCUCUGAGCUUAACUCAGAACGGCCAAGUGAUACUGCAGUGCUAGAGUGUGGAAGGGGCAAUCGGAAUUCUUGGUGUAGCGGUGAAAUGCGUAGAUAUCAAGAGGAACACCUAUGGCGAAGGCAGCUCUCUGGGACGGUACUGACGCUGAUGCACGAAAGCGUGGGGGAUCAAACAGG